rnacentral:rRNA from 1 species
AGUGAACGCUGGCGGUAGGUCUAACACAUGCAAGUCGAACGGCAGCACAGUAAGAGCUUGCUCUUACGGGUGGCGAGUGGCGGACGGGUGAGGAAUACAUCGGAAUCUACUUUUUCGUGGGGGAUAACGUAGGGAAACUUACGCUAAUACCGCAUACGACCUACGGGUGAAAGCAGGGGAUCCUCGGACCUUGCGCGAUUGAAUGAGCCGAUGUCGGAUUAGCUAGUUGGCGGGGUAAAGGCCCACCAAGGCGACGAUCCGUAGCUGGUCUGAGAGGAUGAUCAGCCACACUGGAACUGAGACACGGUCCAGACUCCUACGGGAGGCAGCAGUGGGGAAUAUUGGACAAUGGGCGCAAGCCUGAUCCAGCCAUACCGCGUGGGUGAAGAAGGCCUUCGGGUUGUAAAGCCCUUUUGUUGGGAAAGAAAAGCAGCAGGUUAAUACCCCGCUGUUCUGACGGUACCCAAAGAAUAAGCACCGGCUAACUUCGUG